AUAAGCUUACGGACUGUAGAGGUCUAUAGAAAAGAUUUAUCGCUUGAGGAUGAGGCUGCGCGCCAUCAGCUAGUUGGUAAGGUAAUGGCUUACCAAGGCGACGACGGCUAGGGGACCUGAGAGGGUGACCCCCCCACACUGGGACUGAGACACGGCCCAGACUCCUACGGAGGCAGCAGUGAGGAAUAUUGCUCAAUGGGCGCAAGCCUGAAGCAGCGACGCCGCGUGGAUGAAGAAGGUUUUCGGACUGUAAAAUCCUUUUCUGUGUGACGAGAGUGGACGGUAGCACAGGAAUAAGCCUCGGCUAACUACGUG
rnacentral:rRNA from 1 species